rnacentral:rRNA from 1 species
ACGGGUGAGUAAUACAUCGGAACGUAUCCUGGAGUGGGGGAUAGCCCGGCGAAAGCCGGAUUAAUACCGCAUACGCUCUGAGGAGGAAAGCGGGGGACCUUCGGGCCUCGCGCUCAAGGGGCGGCCGAUGGCGGAUUAGGUAGUUGGUGGGGUAAAGGCCUACCAAGCCGACGAUCCGUAGCUGGUCUGAGAGGACGACCAGCCACACUGGGACUGAGACACGGCCCAGACUCCUACGGGAGGCAGCAGUGGGGAAUUUUGGACAAUGGGGGCAACCCUGAUCCAGCAAUGCCGCGUGUGUGAAGAAAGCCUUCGGGUUGUAAAGCACUUUUGUCCGGAAAGAAAUCAUCGGGGCCAAUACCCCUGGUGGAUGACGGUACCGGAAGAAUAAGCACCGGCUAACUACGUGCCAGCAGCCGCGGUAAUACGUAGGGUGCGAGCGUUAAUCGGAAUUACUGGGCGUAAAGCGUGCGCAGGCGGUGCUGUAAGACCGAUGUGAAAUCCCCGGGCUUAACCUGGGAACUGCAUUGGUGACUGCAGCGCUGGAGUAUGGCAGAGGGGGGUGGAAUUCCACGU